CCAAUAGCGUAUAUUAAAGUUGUUGCAGUUAAAAAGCUCGUAGUUGAAUUUCGGGACCAAUCUGCCGGUCGUGCCUCCGGUACGCACUGGUUUUAUUGGUUUCUCCCUUCUGACGAACCAUGAUGUCAUUAAUUUGGUGUCAUGGGGAAUCAGGACUGUUACUUUGAAAAAAUUAGAGUGUUUAUAGCAGGCUAACGCUUGAAUACAUUAGCAUGGAAUAAUGAAAUAGGACGUUUGACCCUAUUUUGUUGGUUUCUAGGAUCGACGUAAUGAUUAAUAGGGAUAGUUGGGGGCAUUAGUAUUCAAUUGUCAGAGGUGAAAUUCUUGGAUUUAUUGAAGACUAACUACUGCGAAAGCAUUUGCCAAGGAUGUUUUCAUUAAUCAAGAACGAAAGUUAGAGGUUCGAAGGCGAUCAGAUACCGCCCUAGUUCUAACCGUAAACGAUGCCAACUAGCGAUCUGUGGGGGUUAAAUUAAUGACUCCACAGGAAGCUUCCG
rnacentral:misc_RNA from 1 species